AUAGAGACGGAGUUUCACCAUGUUAGCCAGGAUGGUCUCGAUCUCCUGACCUCGUGAUCCACCUGCCUCGGCCUCCCAAAGUACUGGGAUUACAGCCACCCCAACCUCUGGCACCACCACUCUGAUCAGACAGCAGCCAUCAACAUCUAGUCGAGACCCUCCACUAGCAAAGAGAUUAUGACUCACUGAAGGCUCAGAUGAUCAUGAAUAAUUUUCAGAAAUAAAGUACUUUUAAAUUCAGAUGGAGUCUUGCUCUGUUGCCCAGGCUGGAGCACAAUCUCAGUUCACUGAAACCUCCGCCUCCUGGAUUCAAGCAAUUCUCCUGCCUCAGCCUCCUGAGUAGCUGGGAUUGCAGCUACAAUGCCACCAGGUGAUCGGAAUUUUUCAGCUCCAUUAAAAUCUUAUGAGACCAUCACUGAAUAUGUGGUCCGUCAUUGACCAAAACAUCAUGAUGCAGCUCAUGACUAUAGUUCUGUCUCAGAAGAUCCAGGAAAUAGUAGGUUCCUCCGAGGCCGGAAGCCCAUUCAGUAUCUUAGCCAAUGGCAUGUCUUAUAGAUACAAAUAGUGCAGCCUUUUGCCGAAGAAAUGAUAUCUUGUUUCCUUUGCCAGGAGCUGUGUGCUUGCAACAGUAAUAUAAAUGUGCAGCCCACAUUAGGUACUCAAACAACUUGUCAUUUGUUUGAAAAGGAGCCCUUUAUUUGACUAGAAGAAACAGGAGCCAAAUGAGCUUGAUUCCUUCUCAUGCCAGCCAGCAAUGCAAUUACAGGAAUGGGGACUGGGGAAGGACAAAUUGAUCAGUCACCCAUGCACAUAGGUGCAGGGGCUAUGUACUUGAAGUGGUUGGUUGUGGUUGGGACCCUGCCUUGGUCUGUUAAUUACAUAUUGCAAAAUGGGAUCUCAUAAGUGACUGUAAUUCAUUGGUAAUUUCUUGAGAAAUUACAAUUUUUGACAGGAAAGUUUUUUUUCUUUGUGUCCCCUGAUAAAUUCUCCUGGUUUGUAAAAUCUUUAGAAUUCAUAAUCCUUAGGUAAUGCACUUUGUAGAAACAGCAGGAAUGUGAGGAUUUGCAAACCUCCUUUUCUUCACUGAUGAGUAUAAAAAUGCUGCAGUUUACUUCAACUGUUGAAAGUGGAACUUUCUCCAUAUUUAAGCAGUGGUGUUCUCUUUUCAUGCUGAAAAGCAAUGAAUUGUCAAAAAUGGACAUCUUGCCAUGAAUAAAGAUGACAACUGAGUAGGUGACUCAGAAAUGUGCCUGACAAGAGAGAAAUGGUUUGAAUAUAGAGUGUAUAUAUACUCUUCUACUAAAAACUUGGGAGACCAAACAAGUCUGAUUGCAAUGGGUAACCAACAAACAGGUACAGGGGCAGUAGAUCUCAGUAUGUUCUCAUGAUUCCCAAAUUGCCAACCAAACCUCUUCUGUGUGCUCUUGUUUGUGAGACUAAGAUUCAGCUCUCUUCAGACUAAGAUCACAGCUUGGGUGUGAUUUGAUCCUGCUUCAAGCUGGCAAAGCCUCAGAAGCCCUCUACCAUCAGAAUCCUGCUCAGAGGAAAUAGCUGGAGACCAUUCUUGAAGAACUGUCAUCUUUAGUACUGGAAUUAAGUGUCCUGUUUGGGUCUCACUGACAUGCUAUUCCAGAGACACUCACUGGCUUCUGAAAGCUCAUUCUGGGAUCUGGGAAUGAAACAGAAUUCAGGGAGGAAGCCUUAGAAGAGCCUUAUGUUCAGAGAGACCCUGUGUCCUCUUAAGGGAGCAUCAUUGGUAAACUUCCUACUUCUCAAUUUCCUUAUCUGUAAAAGUUGUUGAAUGAGUUAAAUAGUAUGAUAUGGAAUUCAUAAAGAACUCAAGAUUACCUGCUAUUACUGUGUAAUAUAUUGUUUAUAUUUACAGCACAUACAAAGUACCAGUUUUUCCAUUGUUAAUGUGGAUGUGAAUGUUGCCCUAAAAUAAUCUUGUCUUUUGAUUUGUUAUUCUUCAUCUAUCCUUGCUUCUAUCAUUAUUAAAAAUUUAUCUAUGAAUAAAUUUAGAGAGGAAAUGGAAGUCAUUAUAAAGUUGCAUGUUCAAGCACGGCAAUGAUUCGUAAUUGUCCCAACAGUUAAGUGUACAUCAGUACAGCCCUAACCACACUCACUAAGGCUUUUACACUGAUUACAGAGAUUGUGGGUGCUGAGUUUUCCCCAUGUGUUGCCAUAAAUCUGCUUUUCCUUUCACUUAAGAAGGUACUUAGAAACACAAGAGUGUAAGAAUGAUGUUAUCAAAGACUAACAUUAUAAUCCUUCUAUUCUAUGGAAAAAACAAUUAUUUGUGAAUUUCUGCCAUACUUCACAGCUGGCGAUGGGUCAUGAGAGCUCACUGCCAGACGCCAAGAGCCUGGCUAAGACAAAUGAGAGAAGAAAACUUCUAAGCACGGUGAUGGCAGAAGUGUGUGCCAAUUUGAGUAAUGCUUUUUCUCACAUACUUUCUAUUUUUCCUCUGUCUGGGAACUAGUGCAAGAAAUCUAAAAGAGGAAAACCAGCCUGUUUUCUCUCACUUAUUUGAAUUUACUAGUGUUUGCAAUAGUGUUAAUUUCUGGCUUUAACUGAAGAAUGUUUUUUUGCAGUUUAUUCUCUCAUUUUUCAUUCAUUUAUCCUUUUAUCAACCAGUAUUUCCCUUCCUUUUUUGAGAGGGUUCCUGCAUUAAAUGCUGCAGCUUACUAGGACAAUUCCUGUUCCCCCCAGGAGUUUACAUUCUUCAUGUAAUUCAUAAAAACUUGUCCAUCCACCUUAAUUUAAACAAAUAGUUCUCAGUGGUGCUAGUGGUGGGAGUAAAGGGCUGCUCCCAGAAGACAUUCUUUGGCAAUGUCUGAAGACAUUUGUAAUGACUGAGGGAGGGAGUGCUCCUGGCAUGCCAAGUAGUGAAGAAAUGCUGCUAGAUAAUUCUAGAAUGCUCAGGAGAGCUCUGGGGUAACGUAAAGUAUUAUCCGGUCCCAAAUGAGAAACCCUGUUCUAAACUUUUGCUUGGAACAAGUUUUAUCCUUUACUUAGCACAAUUCUUUAUGUAUAAUAAAGGGAUUUGCCACUUGUUCAUCAACUAAAAGAGGUUCCUAACAUAUUUUAUAGCAUUUCAUAAAUAUUUGUCAAAAGGAUUAAUAUUAAACUGGAUUAAAUUUAAUAAUGCAAUAUAAAGAAUAAUGAUGUGGG
rnacentral:lncRNA from 1 species